AGACAGAGGGUGCAAACGUUGCUCGGAAUCACUGGGCGUAAAGCGGGUGUAGGCGGGUCGACAAGUCUGGUGUGAAAGCCCUGGGCUCAACCCAGGAAUUGCAUCGGAAACUGUCGGUCUUGAGUGCCGGAGAGGGAGGCGGAAUUCCCGGUGUAGAGGUGAAAUUCGUAGAUAUCGGGAGGAACACCAGAGGCGAAGGCGGCUUCCUGGACGGCUACUGACGCUGAGACCCGAAAGCGUGGGGAGCAAACAGGAUUAGAAACCCUAGUAGUCC
rnacentral:rRNA from 1 species